rnacentral:tRNA from 1 species
GGGGAUGUAGCUUAAAUGGUAGAGCGCUCGCAUUGCAAGCGAGAGGUACGGUGUUCAAUACCCUGCAUCUCUA